AUUGAACGCUGGCGGCAGGCCUAACACAUGCAAGUCGAACGAGCGGCGGACGGGUGAGUAAUGUCUGGGAAACUGCCUGAUGGAGGGGGAUAACUACUGGAAACGGUAGCUAAUACCGCAUACCAUCGGAUGUGCCCAUAGGGGAUUAGCUAGUAGGUUGGGUAAAGGCUAACCUAGGCGACGAUCCAUAGCUGGUCUGAGAGGAUGAUCAGCCACACUGGGACGGAGACACGGCCCAGACUCCUACGGGAGGCAGCAGUGGGGAAUAUUGCACAAUGGGCGCAAGCCUGAUGCAGCCAUGCCGCGUGUAUGAAGAAGGCCUUCGGGUUGUAAAGUACUUUCAGUCGGGAGGCGUUACCCGCAGAAGAAGCACCGGCUAACUCCGUGCCAGCAGCCGCGGUAAUUC
rnacentral:rRNA from 1 species